UACGGAGGGUGCAAGCGUUAAUCGGAAUUACUGGGCGUAAAGCGCACGCAGGCGGUUUGUUAAGUCAGAUGUGAAAUCCCCGGGCUCAACCUGGGAACUGCAUCUGAUACUGGCAAGCUUGAGUCUCGUAGAGGGGGGUAGAAUUCCAGGUGUAGCGGUGAAAUGCGUAGAGAUCUGGAGGAAUACCGGUGGCGAAGGCGGCCUGCUGGGCAUUAACUGACGCUGAGGCUCGAAAGUAUGGGGAGCAAACAGG
rnacentral:rRNA from 1 species